ensembl:lncRNA
CCCAGAUCCAUUCCAAAGGCAUGCAGGGAUGUGCUCCCUGUGCUGUGUGUUUACUCAAAAUGUCCUGGCCAGAGGCUGCAAGCACCAAGAAAGAACAGCCCAAAGAGAGGGUGUUGCUUUCUUCUGAGCUCUGUAGGAUCAACACUGAUACAGCCGACAGUGUAGCAGCCUGGAGAAGUCGUUUCUACAUCUGCAGGCUAAAGCCUUGUCCUUUUUCCUCUGGCCAGGCUCACUAACACCCACGCACUGAUCUCAGGCUCCUGUGUGGGGGCUGUGGGAACAGUGCCCCUCCAGCUGUAAGCAAGCAAAAAUCAGGUUCACAAUCGCGUGAGGAACCUGAACACCCAUAAAUCUCAAUGACGUGCAUCCCAGAGUCCUGAGGGAACUGACUGAUGUAGUCACCAAGCCACUUUCAGUGACAUUUGAAGUCGUGGCAGUCAGGGGAAGUCUCUGGGUUACAUCUAAAGAAGUGUGGCCGGCAGGUCUAGGGAGGUGAUCUAGGGAGGUGAUCCUGCCCCUCUGCACUGGUAAGACUUUCCCUGGAGUACUGCGUCCAGAUGUGGAGUCCUCAACACAGGAGAGACACAGGCCUGUUGGAGCAUGCCCAGAGGAGGAUCCCAGGGAUGGAACACCUCCCUGCAAGGACAGGCUGAGAGAGCUGGGGCUGUUCAGUCUGGGCAAGAGAAGGCUCCAUGGAGGCCUGAUAGAGACCUUUCAGUAUCUAAAGGGGGACUGUAAGAAAGAAGGGGACAGACACUUCAGCAGGGUCUGCUGUGAUACAAUAAGGGGAAAUGGUUUCAUAAUUAAAAGAAGGGAGAUUCAGACUGGAUGUAAGGAAGAAGUUUUUUAUGAUUAGUGUGGUGAGACACUGGAACAGGUUGCCCAGAGAGGUGGUGGACGCCCUGUCCCUGGAGACACUCAAGGUCAGGCUGGACGGGGCUCUGAGCAAUCUGAUCUGCUGUAGGUGUUCCUGUUCAUUGCAGGGGAGUUGGACUAGAUGGCCUUUAAGGGUCCCUUCCAUCUCAAACAAUUCUAUGAUUCUAUGAUUCAAAAGAGGAAGCCUCAAAAGCAACAGAGAUGGCAUCUUCCCCGCCAGCUACCUCUGAGCAAUAAGUUGGAGUAUUUCCUUGCAGCUCAGCCCAGAAUGUUGAGGCUUUCUUCAUUCCCAAAUACAAAAGCACAAGCUAUUAGAAAAAGGAUGAAGGGACCGAAGGGAGCAGGCCAGCUCAAGCACUCCAACACUACCAAGAUGAAAGGACAUAAAGUUUUUUCUGCCUUGCAGCUCAGGUGUAUUUACCAUGAAAGAGGCAAAGGAAUUAGCUUCUCUUAAAGAUCUUCAUAGACAGCAUAGUCAUUUUGAAAUUUAUUGUUCUUGGCCAUGUACUGCUCUCCAGCAGAAACAUUCAAUAUGUAAGCAGUUGUAAGCACAAUGCUAUAGCACUUCAUCUAAUAGAGUCCCAAAACUAUUCCUAACAUGGACAAGAAAGGACAGUUAUUUUACUGGCAUCUGAGGCCACAGUUCAACACAGUAUCUAGAAGUAGAAAACAUGUGCACAUAUUUGGCUUUUCACUUUUUGGGAGAGAUUUCUCAGAUCACAACUACAGGUAACAAAAGGAGGGAAAGUUCUUCAAAAAGUCCACUCUUGGUGUUCCCAGGGGCCAUAAUAACAACCCUCACUCCUCUACCUGUCUUUGCUCUGAGAGGAAAGUAUUUUAAGGCAUAUGGGUCAUCUCCAAGGCAGAACAUCCACAUGGACAAGAUAAAGUGUUCAGAAAACAGUGAAAUUCUGAAAGUGCACUUCUUUUUCUUCUUCAACCCAAAAAGUUCUAGUAAGAUUAUAAAAACAAGGCAAUAUACGUGCACUCAUACACAAACUUUUGCUGAGGAAAGAAGGCUGAUCAAUUAACACUUACGCUCAUGUUCCAUAUAUGCUGAGGACCAAGAAGACUGCCAGCUCAGGCAUGCUCUGAACUGGGCACCUCUCUCCAGCGAAUAGGCAGGGAGCCCAAGUGCUAAUGGAGGAGGCUUUGGGACAGACUUGAAGCCGUGUACAUGAAUACCCUCACCCAAGCACAGUUCUCAGCCCUGCUAGUUGCAGACAUCUGGUGCAGCUUUCUCUCAUAUUUUCUUUGUCCAAGUUAAAGGCAAACACACGGCAACGUGCAGUUUCACUCAUCUCAGAUCGUGUUGGCAUCGUUACUUGGAUAUUAUGGCAACAGGUAAUAUGGAAAAAAGACACAAGGGUGACCAGGCAGAAACAUAAGGGACUGUUAAAGAAAAGAACAUCAGCUUUAAUUCUGUGAAAAAAAAAAAUCAAAUGUAACAACUGCUGUUUACAGAAACAUGUUUUCUGUUUCAGCUGGCAACACCUAUCUCCAAAAACAUUCUUCCUUUGCAAUUAUACAUUCAUCUGGAAGGUGCACAAAGCACAGAGGUUUGCCAGCUCUCAGAGCACUGCAUCUUGCUGCUUACUUUGAGCUAAAGCUUUUUUAUUUUUUCCUCAUCAGUUUUCCCAACCUGUGCUUAUGAAAGCUAUCGAGACGGAUCAAAAUAGAUCAAGGACUGCUGAACCAAAUCAGCGGCACAAUUUGGCUGCACUUUAGCAAGAUUCAGACACUGGGAGUCAGCCUGAGCCAGCACUCUUAGUUUAUGACUUUCAAAAGCUCGUUUCCCAUGGCUAUAGUUGAAUUCCAUCAACAGACGUAAACUGCCAUAUUGUUGUGAUAUGCUAUUCGUGAUCACAGAAGUGUCCAGCUUUGCUGGGGUACCUAGCAUUGCUGACACCAGGGCGCCAAGACUGAUGGAGAGCAGGUCCUGAUCCAGGUGCACUCAGCUUUCAGACAGGCAGACGCUACCGGAGAUGGGCUGUGGAACAGGGGCAGGGGCUCCCCUUCUCCUGCCACCUCUGUAGUUGUGUUUUAAUGCUGUUUUAAUGCUGUCACCUAAUGGAGGAAAAAUAAAACCUUGGCAAAUCA